AGAGAGAAAAUUCUCUUGAAGCUGAUCUUCCUUGUUGAUUAGCAUUCAUCAAUCAUCAUGCCAUCCAUGAGAGCAUUUUGUAAGCCAUUGCAAGGGCUUCUUCCUCUUGCCUAUCCAUCUCUGCAAAAGUGCAAAUACAGAAGUAAUGUGCUCCCCAAUCUUUCUUAAGGCUCUCAUUCAUCAUGAAGACACCAUCUUUUAGGCUGAUAGAAAGCAGAGAUUGUGACUGCUGCUUGAGAACUAAGAUUGGAGAAACUGAUUAGGCACCAAGGUUGCACUUAUUCUUCUUCUCUUGGACACCAAAUUGAACUACAAGCUUGGGAAUGGACUGGUAUUAUGUUCUACAAUUCCUUUUGUAACGAACAAGUUGAUGAAGCUUCAUUGAGAAGAGCUCGUCCAACGGAUAGAACCCAUUGAGGGUUAGUUCCUUGGCGCAGAAGAAGAUCCUAAGUUGCUCAUAGAAGUAGAGCAUAUGCUCUAUAAUAAAGUAAAAUGUUUUAACUAAAAUCAUUGUUUAGGUUAAGUUGUGGCUUCACAUUCAUCAUCUAUUAAUGAACUAUUGUUGAUGAUGACAUUGAUGAUCAUUCCCUUCGUUCA